CGGUUUGCAGUAGGUGAAUAAGGUUGGACAUUUUUUAUGGAAUUCUAUAAAGAUAAGAAAGAAUUUUCUUAUUGUUUAAUCCACAUUUGCAAAGGCUUACUUUAUAGUCUCUUAGAAAUAGUUUUGUUAGAACUUAUGAAACAGUUUAACUUUCAAGACUUCAUAUUUCCAAGGUUACAUAUUUCCAACAGUCUACAAAAAAAAAGGUUUAAAUAUUUUAUGCAGCUUAUAGGUUUUUGAAUUUUUUUUUUUAUUCAAACAAUAUUGCUUAUGUUUAAAAUUUUAUUUGUCUGCAGCGUUCAUUUAUGUUUAGAAAUGUGAAGUAACUGGGCUUUAAAUUUGAAAUCUUGAAUACAAACUAUCAAAUUUUUUAUUACUUACACUAGGGGCAGUUGGUGAUAGCAUUAAUCUAUUAAAUUUUGGUCUGCUGGGGCAUGGCAAGUAGAUUGGGCUGAUGACAAUCUCUGCAGCCUGCGCAAGCUGCUAAAUAUUUGGUCCUGUUUUGCAAUAUAUUAGUGUCGGAUUACAGUAAAAUGUGCAGAUGCAAUGAGUCAAGCUGAGCCAAUAUUUCUGCAAUUGUAUUAUUGUCGUUUUUCCUUCUUUUUGCUUUGCAAGUUUUUUCGCUUCUCAUUUUUAUCAUGUUUGGCUUUUGUUUAUGUUGCAGUCGGUAGGGUGGCAUUAUAAUCUUGCAAAAGGAAGUUAACUUAUUUGUUGCCAGUUAAAGAUUUGGUUGUGACAAAUAAAUCUAGAAGGUAACUUAAGAUUUGACACUGUAUUUAUCUAUAUUGUAUGGCAAAACCUCAACACAAGUCUUAGAAACAUAAUUGGGUCUAGACUUUCUAAACCUUUUCUUUCAAAUCUUUAUGCUAUAUAGGGUUUUGACAAAGUCCAAAUACGUCACUUUUAUAGGAAAAUAGAUGUAGUCCUAAUCUUAAAAAAAAAAAAAAAUACUGCCCAAAAUAAAGCGCUUGUUGUACAAUUCUAAAGAUUUCCAUGAGAAAUAGGAGCUCGAGUUGUGAGGAAAAAAAUUGUGAUAAAAGUUAAGUAUCUUUUUGAGUUUAAGCUAUAUGCCGUUAUUUCUAAUUUUUUUAGUAAGACAUGGUGGUUAGGACGGUGUUACAGCAGCCACCGCACCCUACACAUAAAAUAAAUGAUAUUUGGGUGUGUUUGCUCUCACUGCGUGAUUUUCUAUUGAAUCAGCUAUCAUAUAUGAUUUUGAAUAGUUCUGUGUUGGUUUUUUUAUUCCUAUUUAGUUUAUUUUUUGCAAAUUAUUAGCUAUUAUAUUAUUAUAUUGUUUCUGCUUCGUUUUGUGGAGGUCAUGAUGAUAGCUCUUUCUCUAUAGCGCCUUUUUGCAUAUGUUGAAUAAAAUUGGGACUUUGUAGGCAUGGCAAAUUGAUUGGCCUUGCGCCAAUCCCUGCAGCCUAAGAGUUCUAUGUUUCAUAUUGAGUCAGUGUGCAUGUAUGCUUUCGAAUAGUUUUGUUCUGAUUUUAUUUUAAUAUCUUUUUUUAUUAUCCUAUAAGUUAUACAUCCAAAAUUGGUUUAAAUAUUUUAUCUAGGUUAUACAUUUUCCUGGUUUUUUGGAUAUUCGAACAAUAUUGGUUAUUUAUAAAAUGUUAUUAGGCCGCAACAUUUAUUUAUGUUUAGAAAUAUAAAGUAGAAGACUUUUAUUACUUACAAUAGAGACAGUUGAUGAUAGCAUUACUUUGUUAAAUUUUGGUCUGCUAAGGCAUGGCAGGUGGAUUGGCCUAAUGCCAAUCUCUGCAGCCUGCACAAGCUGCCAAAUAUUUGGUCCGGUUUUCUGGUCUAGAUAUUUGAACUCUCAAAGAAGCGCGAAAAAAUAUUUGAUGGAUUAAAACAGAUGAGUGUAUGGUGCGCUUGCUCUUGCGCGGGUCGGUGCGGGUGGCAUGGUGGUUUGAACGGUCUUAUGGUAACCGCCGCAGCCUACGCAUAAAAAAAAUUAUAUUUUGGUGCGCUUGCUCUUGCGGCCUGAAUUUCUAUUAAAUCUACGGCCAUGUAUGGUAUUGCAUAGUUCUACGCUGAUUUUUUAAUUCCUUUUUUUGUUAAACCUUUUAAUUAUUAUGUAAUAUACUAUUGUAUUGUUUCUAUUUGUUUUUGCGAAGGCGAUGAUGAUGGCUCUUUCUCUAUAGUGGCGGUUUGCAGGAGGUGAAUAAAAUUGGGCCUUUUUUGCGUAGUUCUAUAAAGAUAAGGAAGAAUUUCCUUAUUGUUUAGUCCAUAUUUGCAAAGCCUUAUUUUAUACUCUUUUAGAAAUAGUUUUGUUAGAACUUAUGAAACAGUUUUAUUUACAAGACUUCAUAUUUCCAAGGUUACAUAUUUCCAACAGUAUACUAAAAAAAAAAAGGUUUAAAUAUUUUAUGCAGCUGAUAGGUUUCCGUGGAAUUUUUUUUAUUCAAACAAUAUUGCUUAAAUUUGAAAUCUCGAAUACAAACUAUCAAGUUUUUUAUUACUUACACUAAGGGUGGUUGGUGAUAACAUUACUCUAUUAAAUUUUGGUCUGUAGAGGCAUGGCAAGUAGAUUGGCCUGAUGGCAAUCUUUGCAACCUGCGCAAGCUGCUAAAUGUUUGGUCGUAUUUUGCAAUAAAUUGGUGCCGAAUUAUAGUAAAUGUGCAGGUGCAACAAUGAGCCAAGCUGAGCCAAUAUUUCCGUGAUUGUAUUAUUGUCAUUUUUUCUGCUUUUUGCUUUGCAAGUUUUUUUGCUGCUCUUUCUGUCAUGUUUGGCUUUUGUUUAUGUUAAAAAACAUAAUUAGGUUUUGACAGUCCAAAUAUGUUACUUUUUUUUUUUGUAUCUGUAGGCAUUUAUUUUUCUACUGUUAUCUUUUCAUUUGUUAGAGAAGAAAGAAUAAAAAAAUUAUUUUUUUUAUUCUGCUGGUGCAUUAUUUUUUUUCCUAUGAUCUGAUUAAUGGUUUAUUUUAUCUAAGGCAUGGCGGGUUGGUCAUUUUUAUGGUGAUUCUCGCAGCCUGUGUAUAUAAAAAUUAUUGGUACUUUUUUUUAAGUGUUGUGGAAUGUUGAAUAUUAUUUCAACUGAAUUGAAUAAUAACUAUGUGUUUUUGAAAAGCUAAGCUGACCUGAAUUUCUCUUGCUCUAUUUUUUUUUUACUUCUCCUCUUGAUACUUUUGCACUUCAGAAAUUG
rnacentral:lncRNA from 1 species